UACGGGGGGGGCAAGCGUUGUUCGGAAUUACUGGGCGUAAAGGGCGCGUAGGCGGGUCGUUAAGUCAGGGGUGAAAUCCCAGAGCUCAACUCUGGAACUGCCUUUGAUACUGGCGACCUUGAGGCCGGAAGAGGUUAGUGGAAUUCCCAGUGUAGAGGUGAAAUUCGUAGAUAUUGGGAAGAACACCAGUGGCGAAGGCGGCUAACUGGUCCGGAUCUGACGCUGAGGUGCGAAAGCGUGGGGAGCAAACAGG
rnacentral:rRNA from 1 species